rnacentral:rRNA from 1 species
AAACCUACGGGACGCAGCAGUGAGGAAUAUUGGUCAAUGGGCGAGAGCCUGAACCAGCCAAGUCGCGUGAGGGAAGACGGUCCUAUGGAUUGUAAACCUCUUUUGCCGGGGAGCAAAAAGCGGUACGUGUACCGCAUCGAGAGUACCCGGAGAAAAAGCAUCGGCUAACUCCGUGCCAGCAGCCGCGGUAAUACGGAGGAUGCGAGCGUUAUCCGGAUUUAUUGGGUUUAAAGGGUGCGUAGGCGGGACGGUAAGUCAGCGGUAAAAAUGCGGAGCUCAACUCCGGCGAGCCGUUGAAACUGCCG